AUUGAACGCUGGCGGCAGGCCUAACACAUGCAAGUCGAACGGUAACAGGAAGAAGCUUGCUUCUUUGCUGACGAGUGGCGGACGGGUGAGUAAUGUCUGGGAAACUGCCUGAUGGAGGGGGAUAACUACUGGAAACGGUAGCUAAUACCGCAUAACGUCGCAAGACCAAAGAGGGGGACCUUCGGGCCUCUUGCCAUCGGAUGUGCCCAGAUGGGAUUAGCUAGUAGGUGGGGUAACGGCUCACCUAGGCGACGAUCCGUAGCUGGUCUGAGAGGAUGACCAGCCACACUGGAACUGAGACACGGUCCAGACUCCUACGGGAGGCAGCAGUGGGGAAUAUUGCACAAUGGGCGCAAGCCUGGUGCAGCCAUGCCGCGUGUAUGAAGAAGGCCUUCGGGUUGUAAAGUACUUUCAGCGGGGAGGAAGGGAGUAAAGUUAAUACCUUUGCUCAUUGACGUUACCCGCAGAAGAAGCACCGGCUAACUCCGUG
rnacentral:rRNA from 1 species